CUGUCUUGUUUAUAAUUAUUUGAAUUUGACUUUUAAGUGAAAAGGCUUAAGUAUAGUAAAGGGACGAUAAGACCCUAUAAAACUUAAUAUAAUGUAUAUUAGAUUUUAGAGUUAGAUAUUUUAAUAAAGGAUAAUGUAAAAUUAUUUUAUUGGGGCGAUAGGAAUAUAAAUUUAACUGUUCUUUCUAGAAACAAUUAUUUUUGGAGAAGAAGAUCCUUAUUUUAAGAUUAAAAGAUAAAGUUACUUUAGGGAUAACAGCGUAAUCUUUUUUGAGAGCCCAUAUCGACAAAAGGGAUUGCGACCUCGAUGUUGAAUUAAAAUUUCUUUUUAGUGCAGCAGCUAUAGAAGAAGGUCUGUUCGACCUUUAAAUUUUUA
rnacentral:rRNA from 1 species